CCGCGCCACCGAGCGGGCCGUAUCCGUAUGUGUGUGCGUGUGGGUGUGCACACCUCCUCCGACAUCUCUCUCUGUGCACGACACCGAAACGCAGCUCUGAGUAGCAGCUUAAGGAUCUCGGAGGCUGCUUACGGGUGGCUUGGAUGCAGCACCCUCACAGAUAAGCACACACCGUAGUGGAAGCGCAUAUUGUGCUGGCGAUGGUCGCCGAUUUCCGCGCCUCCCUCUUUCCCUCCCCUCUUUCGGUACUCACAGGAGCGGUGAGGCGCUAGUAGCGAUGAAUGUGCCCGGCGUCAACAAAGGGCCGAACGUGGCGGCGGCCUCACCUCGCAUGGUAGCCAUGGGCUCACGUAGGCGUGCGCUGCCGAGGAAGAUGAACUAUCUUCUCCCCAUCACACUCCUCUUUGCCGUCGGCGGUAUCGCCUACACCUUCAAGUGGAACUCUGAUCGGCAGAAGAACGGCGGCGGCGUCUGCGUGGACUGCGCGCGCCAGCGGGAGAUGGUGGAGGAAGUGUACUUUAACAAGAAGCCUCCGGUGCAGAAGGGCUACCGUUUGUGAAGAACGAAGAACCCCGAUAACGUGGCGCGUCUCACACCCGGCUCCGCUGUUCGAUCAACUGGCCGAUGCGCCGUCACGGUUUGCGAAGAUGCUUUGAUGCCAGCUGAGGUUUUUUUUCCUUUCUGCACUCGUGCGGCGGGCCUUUGAACGCACGCUCUCCUCCCGGAUGCGCGUUACACUUGUGCGCCUCAUGCGACGCUCAACGCUGCCAUGUGUGCAGCAUCUCCCACGCGAACACAUUCACCAGAGUGAGAGGGUCGAGGGCUUUUUUCGAUUCGCUCGCGCGUACACGAACUCACGAGCCUCUGAGGAUGCCAGACACUGUAUGCAUUAAGAUCUGUAGUACUACGUCGUUGGUUGACCACCGGCUCCGCCGUUUGGGGACGGUGUCGGAUGAUAGACACAGCUGCGCGUACACGGGACACACAACACGCAGACACACACG
rnacentral:misc_RNA from 1 species